UAACCUUCAAACAAUAGUAAAUCAGUGUCAAACCAUCGUACCUCAGUGUGAAAAUAACUGUUAGAACAACAAUAACAAAUCAGAAAUAUGAAAGUUGUUAUCCAUUCGUUUGAUUUGUUUAAGCUUUUGAUUGUAUCGUAUUGAAUUUUCACGGAGUGUGGUAUUUUUGUGUUUGAAUGUCCUUUUGAUAUCUUUAGUCUAUGGUGAUGUUUUAUAUGAGCUUCUCUAUAUCAUCACAAUAAUGAGUCCGAAAUUGAUACACAAUAUAUUUUCAUAGGGAAGUAACUAUCGGUAGAAAUGUAAUUUAACUACCUCAAUAAUUAUGUUGUGGAUCAAACUAUCCAUCAUUUUGAUAAUAUCAUCUUUGAUAUAUUUGAUACUUAAUUUAAUUCAGUUCUUUACCAUGUAUAUUUUUUUCAUGACCUUAAAUAACAAAAGUGUAUCUACGAUUCCCCUUUUUGUAGCUAAUGAUCGUUAAAAUAAGAGGAUGAUUUCGCACUUUCGAUUGAGCUUUAAAUUUCAGAAUAGAAUUGCAAAGCGUAGAUCAAUGCAUAGUUUUGU
rnacentral:lncRNA from 1 species